rnacentral:rRNA from 2 species
AGCUUGCUGUUGGUGGAUGAGUGGCGAACGGGUGAGUAACACGUGAGUAACCUGCCCCUGAUUUCGGGAUAAGCCUGGGAAACUGGGUCUAAUACCGGAUACGACCUCCUGACGCAUGUUGGGUGGUGGAAAGUUUUUCGAUCGGGGAUGGGCUCGCGGCCUAUCAGCUUGUUGGUGGGGUAAUGGCCUACCAAGGCGACGACGGGUAGCCGGCCUGAGAGGGCGACCGGCCACACUGGGACUGAGACACGGCCCAGACUCCUACGGGAGGCAGCAGUGGGGAAUAUUGCACAAUGGGGGAAACCCUGAUGCAGCGACGCAGCGUGCGGGAUGACGGCCUUCGGGUUGUAAACCGCUUUCAGCAGGGAAGAAGCGAAAGUGACGGUACCUGCAGAAGAAGUACCGGCUAACUACGUGCCAGCAGCCGCGGUAAUACGUAGGGUACGAGCGUUGUCCGGAAUUAUUGGGCGUAAAGAGCUCGUAGGUGGUUGGUCACGUCUGCUGUGGAAACGCAACGCUUAACGUUGCGCGUGCAGUGGGUACGGGCUGACUAGAGUGCAGUAGGGGAGUCUGGAAUUCCUGGUGUAGCGGUGAAAUGCGCAGAUAUCAGGAGGAACACC